AAGACCUUGCGCUUUGGGAAGGGCCGAUGUCUGAUUAGCUAGUUGGUGGGGUAAAGGCCUACCAAGGCGACGAUCAGUAGUUGGUCUGAGAGGACGACCAGCCACACUGGGACUGAGACACGGCCCAGACUCCUACGGGAGGCAGCAGUGGGGAAUUUUGGACAAUGGGCGCAAGCCUGAUCCAGCAAUGCCGCGUGAGUGAAGAAGGCCUUCGGGUUGUAAAGCUCUUUCAGUCGAGAAGAAAAAGCUGCAGUGAAUAACUGUAGUUCAUGACGGUAUCGACAGAAGAAGCACCGGCUAACUACGUGCCAGCAGCCGCGGUAAUACGUAGGGUGCAAGCGUUAAUCGGAAUUACUGGGCGUAAAGGGUGCGCAGGCGGCUCUGUAAGUCAGAUGUGAAAUCCCCGGGCUUAACCUGGGAAUU
rnacentral:rRNA from 1 species